UACGAAGGUGGCAAGCGUUACUCGGAAUUACUAGGCGUAAAGGGCAGGUAGGCGGUUUGAUAAGUCCGUUGUGAAAUCCCUCGGCUUAACCGGGGAACUGCGUCUGAUACUGGAUGGCUUGAGUUCGGGAGAGGGAUGCGGAAUUCCAGGUGUAGCGGUGAAAUGCGUAGAUAUCUGGAGGAACACCGGUGGCGAAGGCGGCAUCCUGGACCGACACUGACGCUGAGGAGCGAAAGCCAGGGGAGCAAACGGG
rnacentral:rRNA from 1 species